CCUAGAUCCUGCAGUGUUACCGAGCACCAAACCUUUAUUCUAAAAAUCCUGAUCAUUAUGAAACAAUCUCCAGAAUGUAAAAGCAUGAAGGGCAGCAUGUGGCUCUUUGGGUGCCAGGUGAAAAUGCAUCCCUUUUUACAUAUUUCUCAGAUUGCUACUCAGUGGAUGGAGUACUUAUAUCAAGUUCCACUUUUCACCUGAAUGUAAUGCAGAGGAAGAUUAAUCUGCAUGCUGAAAUCUGUCACUCCCAUUUCCAUAAUCUGGCCCUUCUGAAAAUGAGCCUCUCAAAAUAACAAGUGGGUUUUUUGUUUGUUUGUUUGUUUUUUCGUUCUGCCAAGAUGUUUUUCCUUUUAAGGGUAUGAUUAAUGACCUGCUAUGAAUGUCAAAAGGCAAAUUCAAAGGAAAGAUUUAUUUUUUAAAAAGUACUGUUUUUAAAUGAGUCCUUGUGCAAUAGUUACCUCAUGUCAUGCUGUCUUACCACUGUGUCUGUGAGUAGCCAUUGGAAACUUCUAAAGCUCUUUUCUGUAUCAGUGCCUUCUGCUUGCUCUUUCCCAUUCUCCUUCCUGCAUACCUUUCUGUUUCAAUGCACAACUAAUAAGCAAAAGAUUUUUUAAAAGCCAACUCUUAAAAUGAUGUGUUUUUGUAAAUCCUGAAUCCUACGUGCUACACUAAGAAAACAUACUCUUUAGUCUGAAAAGGAGAGAACAACUCUGUACUGUAUGUGCUGUCAAACUAGCAUUUAAUUUUUUAUUGUUGUAUUAGGUUUAUAAAAGGAGGGUUGGUGGAUUUCUGAAAGUUGUUGUUAUUAUGGAUUAUUUUUAAAAGCAUUGCUAUGUAAAAGAGUAUAUACCUGUCUACAUGCCUACGACAUGAUAAACAUAAGGCUACAGUUCCUUUUUUUCAUUAUUGCUCUCGAUAAAUUCUCAGACAUUAACUUCAAUGUGAACCUGAAAACCAUUAUAAAAAGAUAUCUGGUCAUCUGACUUACAGUUUGCUGUCAUCUCUGCUUUGAACUUUCUAAAAAUCAUUCAUUUUUCUUCUGUACACACAAAUCUGACAUCAACCCAGAAUAAUCAUGCUUACCUAAAUUAAACCAAAAUCUUUCCUAUUUUCUUUCAGUGCUAUGUCUUUGUUAUUUAAUGUUUACAUCAUACAGAUUUAAAUCCUUCUGUCAGUUUCACUUCAUGUAUGCUACUGCAGUCUUCAGAGCACCUCUACCACAACAUAUCUCCCAGCAGCACAGUAAUCUGCAAGGUUACUCUCACCAUU